AUUGAACGCUGGCGACAGGCUUAACACAUGCAAGUCGAACGAGUGGCGGACGGGAGUGUAACGUGUGGGAACCUAGCUUAUGGCGGGGGAUAACUACGGGAAACUGUAGCAAAUACCGCGUACCAUAGGAUGAGCCCAAGUGGGACUAGGUAGUUGGUGAGGUAAAGGCUCACCAGGCCGACGAUCUCUAGCUGGUUUGAGAGGAUGACCCGGCACACUGUGACUGUUACACGUCCCAGACUCCGACGUGAGGCAGGAGUGGUGAAUAUGGCGCAAUGGGUGCAACCUGACGCAGCCAUGCCGCGUGAGUGAAGAAGGCCUUCGGGUUGUAAAGGUCUUUCGGUAGCGUGGCGUUAGCUACAGAAGAAGCGCCGGCUAACUCCGUGCCAGCAGCCGCGGUAAUUC
rnacentral:rRNA from 1 species